CCUACGGGUGGCAGCAGUGAGGAAUAUUGGUCAAUGGACGAGAGCCUGAACCAGCCAAGUAGCGUGAAGGAUGACUGCCCUAUGGGUUGUAAACUUCUUUUAUCUGGGAAUAAAAUGUUCCACGUGUGGGAUUUUGUAUGUACCAUAUAAAUAAGGAUCGGCUAACUCCGUGCCAGCAGCCGCGGUAAUACGGAGGAUCCGAGCGUUAUCCGGAUUUUUUGGGUUUAAAGGGAGCGUAGGGGGAUUGUUAAGUCAGUUGUGAAAGUUGGCGGCUCAACCGUACAAUUGCAGUUGAAACUGGCAGUCUUGAGUACGGGAGAGGUGUGCGGAAUUCGUGGUGUAGCGGUGAAAUGCUUAGAUAUCACGAAGAACUCCGAUUGCGAAGGCAGUUCACUGGACUGCAACUGACGCUGAGGCUCGAAAGUGUGGGUAUCAAACAGGAUUAGAUACCCGAGUAGUC
rnacentral:rRNA from 1 species